AAAAAAAUUAAUUUCAAUUUCAAGGUGGCUGGGAGUUGAAAGCAUGAUAUGCAAAUCCAUACGUCAACUCUAACUGAUCUAACCAGUGACAUCACAAAAGUAGAUAGUCAUUAGAACAUUCCAGGAUGGCUGUGCAGACAGAUAACUGCUAAUGGGCAAUCCCCCCUUAUCAACCAAAACCCAACUAACAGGAAAAUGAAAGCACAGGCACAUAUCCUGCAAAAGUCCGCAGAAGGCCGCAGAACUCCGCAGAAGGCCGCAGAACUCCGCAGAAGGCCGCAGAACUCCGCAGAAGUCCGCACACAGUAAGGAAGUUGCCUCCGCGUCCAGCCCGCUGAUUGAGCAGGCCGAGAGCCAAUGCGCAAAGAAGGUCCACUAAUUAUGGAGAACCAAAGUUUUUUCUUAAAACUGACGGGACAAUCGAUGAACCUGACCACUGCAGACAUGGACUUCCCUAAACUUCAAUCUGUGGAGAGAGGCCUCAGAGUCUUCACUCGCUAUUUCAUUUUCAGGCUCCUUCCAGCAAAAUAAAAGUAAAAACAAC
rnacentral:lncRNA from 1 species